AAAGAGUCGGAAGCUUAACAAACUGAGCCACCCAGGAGCUUGUGUCCAGUCUUUAGUCAUUAAGAAUCACUGAGGUCUACAGAGAGAAAUCAUCUGCUGGCCUAAGGGACCACGAUGAGUUUCAUUUUUCCUCACAAGCAUCCUGCUUUUGAGGCCAUACAUUGGGCUCCAGCUGGCACAGGUGCUAGGGUGGGGUGGGCAGGUGUGGCAGGCUCAGUCUGUGGGGUUGAGGGCGAGGAUGCCUGGGACUUGCAGCCGGUUUUCCUUCCUCCUGCCCCUCCUCCUUGUUGUUUAAGACUCAUUCAGUUUAAGUGACAGAGACCUGGCUUACAGUAAAUGAAAUAAACAAGGGAUGUCAUGAGCCCGAUGACUCUUGGGGUCCUGAUGAGUUCAGGCAUGGCUGCAUCCAGGGGUUCAGGGCUUGUUUCAUCACAUGUUCUCUACCUUUCAGCUCUAUUACUCUCUGUCUCAAUAUGGUCUUCCCCAUGUGGGGACCACUGGCAACUCCUGGCUUAAAUUGCUGCCAUGGUAGCAAUCAGAAAUGGAGAGCACUCCUUUCUCGAUGGUUCCUGCUAGCAUCCUGGAGAGGGCUUUGUUGGGCCCCACUUAGGUUACAGGCCCCUCUUUGAACCAAUCGUUGUGAUGUAAGCCUGGCCUGAGUUUCUUGCUCAUGUUUAGGAUUGAAAGUGAGGGUCAGAUCCCCAAACCCUGGAAUGGAUGGAUGUUUUACAUGAAAGCAAGAGGAAGGUGAAUGUGCCGAGCAGAUGAAAACAGUUACCACUGCACUCUAUCUGGACUCUGGGUCCCCAUGUCCAGAUCUCUUCAUGGGCUCCAGACUUGCCUGCCCAGCUGCCUCCAGGGCUCCCUCCCUGGUGACUCCGUGCUUCUGAAAUGGAAAGUGGUCUCCACUUUCUUAGAUUCCACUCUUUCUUGGGUGGGAAUCCCAGGAUCACCCCUCUCCUCCCUCUCCAUGACCCGUAUAUCCAGCCUGCCACUGUCCUAGAUGUCUCCGGACUUUAUCCAUGUUCCCAUCCCUCCACAAUGCCUGAUCCCAAGCCCUGUCUUUUGCACCUGUGAUGAAGAUCUGCUGCUAUUUGGUCUGUCCCCAGUAACUCUUUCUCCUUGCAGCAGCCACACUGAUUUUCAUAAACCAUAUAUUAAGUUAUGUCACUCCUUGCUCAAGAUCUUUCAGUGAUUCUUAUUGCCCUUAAAAAAAAAAAAAAUCCAAACCCGGAAAAAUAUCCAAAUCUACCAUCCUGGCAUUCAGGACAAACUAUGAUCUGGCCCAGUGGCCUCCAGUUUCAUCUGUCAGAGUGUCCUUCUCAUGCCUGUGCCCCAUCACACUGAGCUUUUAGUUCCCCCAACACAGGACACCCCUCAUCCCAGGACCUUUGCAUAGGUUGUGUCCUUGCCUAGACCACUCUUUUACCUUCGUCUUUACCUGGCUCACUCCGUAGGUCUCAGCUAAAUGGCAUUUCAUCCAGGAAGCGAUCUUAGGCAUUGUCAUGCCAGGUUGCACCCUGUGCUUCUUGGUAACGUGUACCAUGCGUAAUGUGUACCCACCCAGCUGUGUUCGCAGGGCCCCGCUCUGGCUGGGCAGACCUCACCAGGGAGCUGUGAAAUGAGAGUUCCCAGGGAGAGGGGGCCAGAAGCCUAUGGAGGAAAUGGUUGGGGACUUGCUCCCGAGACCCUGUGUAGCCCCCAGAGCUGGCCCAUCUUUCCUCAUCUGCUCUCUUGCCAAUCCCAGAAUGCCUACACUCCCUGGGGAAGACCCCCUUGGAGAAUGGUUGAAAACUCUGCCUCCUUUCCCAUAGGAAAGCACUUGUGCAUAACAUGUGGUUUUAUGGUUUUCCUGCACCUACUUUGGGGUUCAUAAAACUUGAGUUCAAAACCCUUGGUCUAAAUCAAUCCGAGUAAGAGAGGGAAGACCCUCCCCCACCUCCCCAUUCCUGUAUGGGGAAGUGUUGGUUGGGAGUGAGGAGAUGUUGGGCUGGGCUCUGGCAAGUCAUCUUCCGGACCCUGAGUAAAUCCUCUCACCACUGGCCUCAGUUUGUCCAGGUGGAAACUGGGGGCUGGAGUUAACCAUUUCUGGGACACUCCCAGGGCAACUCCAGGUGCCUUAGGGACCAGAUGGGGAUCAAACACAAGUGAGGUGACAGGGUUGGAGGAGGGAGAUGUAGGGACCCUGGCGAGCCCAAGCCCCACCUCCCUUGAGAAAGUGUUGCCCCUCAGGAGUGUGGGCUCCUUGCUGCUGAGCUCCCCAUUGUUUCUUCAGAGAAACCGUGUUUCUGAGUGUGUUGGUAUCACAUCCAGUGAGAAGACCCUGUAUGGGCCCUGAGGACCCCUGACAGGGCCACCAGAGGCAGUGUGGAAGUGUUGGGAGGUGUGCUGGCAGCAGGAUCUGAGAUGCGCCAGGGGUUCCUGCUGGCAGGGGCUGGGAACUUGCUUGAACCCAGCCUGACUUUAUCAUCCAUCACCCUAUGCCUCAGCUUCCAGCACGUCUACAACCUUCUGGCUGGCCACCCCACCACAUCUCACUGGGAGUGACUUGGUGGAAGGGAAGGAGCAUCUCAGAGGCUGUUCCCUGCCUGGGCGGGGUAGGGACGUGCACUGAUCAGUGGCUGCCACUAUGGAGGCGGACUUGUCAGGGGUUCGUGCUAUAGGGGGCGAGUAGCAGCCUGUGACCCUGACCCACCACCCCAUUUGCCUUGUGGUGGCCCCUCAGUUUGGUGUAGGUGCAUCCAUGAUCUGAAAGCCAGACUCAUUUAUCUGUCUUCCGCCUGGACUCGUUAAAAAUCACAGGCAGCCAGUAGCUGAUUGCCAGGCGCUGGGGUAAAGACGGGAAUGUGGCGUUAUUGUUAAUGGUUACAGAGUUUAAGUUUUACAAGAAAACAAGAGGUCUGAUGAUGGUUGCGCAACAUUAGGAAAGCAUUUAAGAGCACCGAACGACACCAAAAGUGGUUAAGACGGUGAAAAAGGGCAUCUGAGGACUCGUGGGAUUCGGUAGGUAGUUCAGAGGUGCAGUGGUGCCCCUUGAGCCCAGCUCGUCCAGUUUUCCUCUCCAGUGGGACUCUGUUCUCUGGGGUACUAGUGGUUGCUGCUGUCCCCACACCCCUCUCACCCCCACACACAGCUUGGUGGGAAAAGGAAGCCAUUUUUGGGAGGUUCCCGCCACGGUCUUGAGCUUCACUCUGAUUGGGCGGGAUUGGAUCACGGGACUUUCCCAUAGCCAAUCACUGUGGCCCAGGAAUGCUGUGCGCUGACUGGCUCUAGCCCGAGUCACGUGCGCCAGCCGCUGCCUAGAAUUGUCUGCUGAGAGGGCUUCGGGGUCGCGACCGUCAGUCAUGGCCGCGUUACUCUUCUACAGGCUGAGGGCCCUGCUAACCGCGCUGCCCCUCAAGAAAAGGCGGCCAGAGAAUCAGUGUCUAUGCCCUUUACCUCUGCUGCGGCAUGUGCCCAGUCCCUGCAUUCGUCCUGUGAACUAGCACCUUUCACAGGGUGAAAGGUGCCCCUUUCACAGAUGAGGAAACUGAGGCUUGGUGAGUUCCUGGGAUCUGUGGGCUCUCCAGGUGUGGGGUCGCCUCGGUGCACGGAAUCCUCUAGGGACAGGCAGAGCGGAGCCCAGCUCGGCCCCUCAGGGAAGGCCAGCACAGUCGAUCACUGAUCUCAGAGCCUGAGCCGGGGAGGCCGCCUCUUCCCGAGUCAUCCCUUGUGACCCUGCGGUGACUUCACCGCGUCGUCGUGUGUGUCUGGCGCUGGUUGUGGCGCGUAACGGCGCCGCCCAUUCCCGUGUUGGCUUCAGGCUCUUACCGUCCCGUGGCCAGCCGUGGCAGCCGGUCCCCCUGUGCCCCCAGCACUUGGGGAGUGUGGAGUGAUGCCAGGGGUCAGCCGGGAGGUAGGGAAGGCCAGAGCGUCGCCCAGGCCUGCUGUGGGGACCAUGAGUGCCACAGCCAAGGGGAGCAGUCUGGAGAAACUCAUCUGCCCCGAGCCAUGGGGACGCCCUCCAGGGGCCUGGUGUGCCCGCCUAGCAUCCAGGCUGGCUUUGCUGUGUGGCGGCCUGAGCCUCCCCAGUCUGGUCGCUGAAAUCCAUACUGGCAAAUGCCUAUGGAUCCCUUCCUGGGACCCUCGGUCUACCAGUGGGCAGACACAUCCUUCAUUACCCUCCCUGCCCUCCUCUGCUGGGGCAGCCUGGGGGAACGUACGUGCGUGUUUGUGCACCUUUGUGUGGGGAUGGGUGUGUGUGUGUAUGUGGAAAGGUGUGCUUGGGUAUGUGUGUGCAUGCCUAUCUGUAUGAGUGUGACAUGAAUAUGUAUGUACCUGCGUGUGAAUGUGUGUCUAUGCUUGUGAGUUUGUGCAUUGGAGUGAGCAUGUGUGUGAGUGCGUGCCUUGGUGUGAGUGUGCAUGUAUUUGUAGGGUGAGCACGUGCAUUCAAGUGUGAGUGUGUAAGCAUGGUCGUGUGUGUUCUUGCCAAGGGCUUUCUGCAGGGGAGGGGACUGAGACAGGGGAGAGGUACCCAGGGGAGAGGAAGACCCUAGCCCUCUGAAUCCUGGCACCACCUUGGGCCCCCUCCUCCCACACUGGCAUGCGCUCUGAAAUGGGAGGGCCCAGGUAGGAGCCUCUUGCUCUGCUGCUUAUGUUUCAUAUUAAAUGUCAACUGUCCACCAGGUCUGCGGUGCUGCCAUUAAUAUGGAGAAGUUAUUACAGAGCCUGGAGCUGGCUCCUCGGGCUCAUCCAUGAAUUUCAAUUACCUUGCACGUCUACUCUAGGCCUGUGGAGUGGGGCUCACAGCUUCUGCUUGGAGGCAGAGGGAACUCGGCAUCCAGAACCCCAGCCCAGGCAGUGCGGAGGGGCUAUGCGGGCCCUGCACCUCUCCUCCUUGCCCCGCAAGUUUCACGAGAGCACGGACUUGGUGUGGAUGGAGGCUGCUGUGUCACACAGUCCACUCUGCCCUGUGUAGCUGGGCAGUCUGGAGGAGGGCUGAAAUGCAUAAAACUUGUUUUCCUUGCUUGCAAAGUUGCGGGGGAGGAGCCCGUCCACGCUUGCUGGGCAUUGAAAGAGUGUGUGUGCAACAAGUACUUAGUCCAGGCCUGGGGUUUGGGAGAUACUGACCGUUUAUGCCUUUCAUCAGAUCUGAGAUGCCAUCAGUUAUAGGGCACACACUCCCAAUUACACUGCACCAUGGCACCCUAACUACAGUCCUAAGAGGCAUAGACACCAGCAGCCCUGCCCCCAGUUGCUCCAAACAGUGGGCCUUUCCUCCCUUUUCACUUGCUUGGCUUACUUAGUGUGUGACUGCCUUCUUUUCUGGGUGUCUUCCUCUCUUUGGUAAAGCAUGGAGUUGCAGUCCUUCCUCCAGGAUGUUUCCUCACUGAUGCCAAAGCUAUCCACUCCGUUGUCUCUGUGCUUUUGUGCGCGCAUCAUCAUUUUUUUUUUUGCCAUCUUGGUGUGACUUUUUGAAGACAUUUUGGAUAGUAGGGAUCUCAACACAGGAAGUGCUGAUCCUACAUGCAAUUCAGGGAUUUGGGACUUAUUUGGCAAAUAAGGUGUAUUUCUCUAUCAUGCAAGACUUGUCCAAGUGGCCAGUCUGAUUGGGACAGAGCUUCUGAAGGUAUACAGUUAUACUGUCUAUAAAUGAUGAUAAUUUCGGAGGCUCGUUUCCAAUCAGCACCAUCUAGAACCUUCAGAGUAAUGUUAAGUAACAGCAGCAGCUUUGUGCAUCCGAGUCUGCGCCUGGCUCUGAUGGGAACGCCCCUGGCAUUUCUCUGCUUAAUAAAAUAUAAUGCUUGCUCGUGGACUAAGAUGGAUUUCGUGAGAAGGCAAUAUCCUCUGAAUUCUAGUUUUCUGAGGUCCUAUUUUUAUCAGCACAGGAGCUCAAAUCUAGAUUAAAUUUGUCUAACACCUCACACACCACUGCCUCCCUCCCUGCCCCCGACCCCCAAAGCCAGAGGCGUUAGACAAUUCCCAGGGACUGUGUUUCCCAAGGACCUGGAACUCUGGGCUGCUGGCAGGUCCCCUGAGUUGCCUACUUGCUGGCCCUGAAAUGCAAGCCAGCUCCAUUUCCAGCUGUCAGGGCCCCUCCCAGGAAGAGGCUGGGGCAUGCUGCUGAGGAAGGUGGUGGAGGCUGAACUGCCCAGCCGAGCAGGUGGCUUCCAGGAGAGCUGGAACCAAUUCUUAGAAAGCCCACGUGGGGACAAAUUGCCAGCUGACAUGCUGGGUUCUCCCUCUCUCAGUGGUGUGUCUCCCAACCUUCAGUUUUUCCCGAGUCUUAUAGAAGGCUUUACCCUCUUGCUUAGUGGUUGAUUCCUGCCCACAUGCCCCUACCCCCUUGGGGUCCCACUGGUACCUUAGUUCCCACAUGUUUCUAGAAGGUCUUUCCUGAAAGACUCUCGUUCCCAUAGAGGGAAUCUGUGACCUGUUGUGUAGAGAAUAAAAUUGUUCUCCAUUGUGUUGUCUGUCUCUUUCCCCACAGAUGGGCAUGGGAUUUGGGCACCUUUGAACAAUAUCUGUGCGGGGGUCCCAGCCUGAGAGAUUCUGAUUUAUCAGAUGUGGGUAGGACUUGGGGGUCUGUGUUUUUCAAGAGCUACAAGGGAGAGUCUUAUGCAUAGCCAUUGGGCAUGCACUGAGGGUCAGGAGGUAUGAGGCUGGACAGAACCAGGUUCAGGGCUGACUCUCCACUUGGCUGGCCUGUGACCCUCAGUU